rfam:Picea glauca, whole genome shotgun sequence.
ACAUGCCUACAACAUAGCUUUAAUGCACCAAAUCCCAUUAGAACUUCAUAGUUAAACCCACUUAGGCUAGAGUAGUACUGGGAUGGGUGACCACCUGGGAAGUCCUGGUGUUUUACAUGCC